rnacentral:rRNA from 1 species
GAUGAACGCUGGCGGCGUGCCUAAUACAUGCAAGUCGAGCGAACGGACGAGAAGCUUGCUUCUCUGAUGUUAGCGGCGGACGGGUGAGUAACACGUGGAUAACCUACCUAUAAGACUGGGAUAACUUCGGGAAACCGGAGCUAAUACCGGAUAAUAUUUUGAACCGCAUGGUUCAAAAGUGAAAGACGGUCUUGCUGUCACUUAUAGAUGGAUCCGCGCUGCAUUAGCUAGUUGGUAAGGUAACGGCUUACCAAGGCAACGAUGCAUAGCCGACCUGAGAGGGUGAUCGGCCACCCUGGAACUGAGACACGGUCCAGACUCCUACGGGAGGCAGCAGUAGGGAAUCUUCCGCAGUGGGCGAGAGCCUGGCGGAGCGACGCCGCGUGUGUGAUGAAGGUCUUCGGAUCGUAAAGCUCUGUUAUUAGGGAAAAACAUAUGUGUAAUUAGCUGUGCACAUAUUGACGGUACCUAAUCAGAAAGCCCCGGCUAACUACGUG